AAAAACAAGAUAGGAAACAAAAAAAAAAUGUAAACCGCGGGACUCGAACCCGUCUUCACCAAAUCAACAAACAGCUAGCUAACCACUAUACCACAUAUAUGUUUGGUGCGAGAACUUUCAGCCUAAUCAUUAAAUCUACUUUUUCGCGCUUAAAAUUUCUUUUGAAAACAGAAGACGUACGUAACCGCGUAAACAUCUUGUUGACCUUCCAUUUCUGCUUAUAGUCGCUGAUUCAAGGUGAUUGAUGUCAAUCCACGUUUCCAUGAUUAAGACAAUCAAGAACCAAUUUAAGCAAUCACAUAAUCCUUUCCUAAUUUUCGGGUCUUGUAUAAUCAUUAUAUAAACGACACCAACAUAACCCAGCGACACCCAACUUUUCUCUAUCUCCCUCUCGUACAUCGGAACGCCACCGGAGUGACCCGCAACUCGCCGGAAUAACCCAGGAGUCGCCGGAGUGAACCGAGUUCAUCGGAGACGUACCGGAAACACGACGGAAACCGCGCCCUUUCUGUUCGGUUCGGUCGUAUAAUCCCUCAAAUAGACGAAGUUCGCUGGAGAUCAGAAUCACGUCGACGGUCGUGUCGCCUUUGUUUCGGAUAAUCUCUCUCGUUCGUUCUCUUGGAUUUUUCUCAAUCUUACUCGUGCGUUACUUACAAGAAAUCGCAACGCAAUCAAUGUUGUUAGACGAAGUUAUCAAGAAAACAAGCUAGGAUGGCUUUAGAUACUCAUUUUAGCAAUUAAACAAUGUUUGAAUUUAUGUUCACUAUUUGCAACAAUGUAUUAUUCUUUAAUUUUAAUAAAAUGAUUUAAAUCAUAUUGUCA